UUAUCUUCGUUGUCUUUUGGUUAAGAUCAAAUGCAGUAUCUGUUCUUAUCAGUUUAUUAUCUGAUGCAUACAUUAUCUGAGAAAUAUAUACUAAACUGAAUUUUUAGAACAGAGAGAAAAACUAUGGGCUUAUGCUUGUUUAAGUGUGUUUUAGCUGCUUUUCUGUAUACAUAGGCUUCUCUGUAUAUGUAGACUAGCU